rnacentral:misc_RNA from 1 species
GAUGAAGAACGCAGCGAAAUGCGAUAAGUAAUGUGAAUUGCAGAGUUCAGUGAAUCAUCGAAUCUUUGAACGCACAUUGCGCCCGCCAGCAUUCUGGCGGGCAUGCCUGUUCGAGCGUCAUUUCAACCCUCGACCUCCCUUUGGGGAAGUCGGCGUUGGGGACCGGCAGCACACCGCCGGCCCUGAAAUGGAGUGGCGGCCCGUCCGCGGCGACCUCUGCGUAGUAAUCCAACUCGCACCGGAACCCCGACGCGGCCACGCCGUAAAACACCCAACUUCUGAACGUUGACCUCGAAUCAGGUAGGACUACCCGCUGAACUUAAGCAUAUCAAUAAGCGGAGGA